rnacentral:rRNA from 1 species
AUACGGAGGGUGCAAGCGUUGUUCGGAAUUAUUGGGCGUAAAGCGCGUGUAGGCGGUUUGUUAAGUCUGAUGUGAAAGCCCCGGGCUCAACCUGGGAAGUGCAUUGGAUACUGGCAGACUUGAAUACGGGAGAGGGUAGUGGAAUUCCUGGUGUAGGAGUGAAAUCCGUAGAUAUCAGGAGGAACACCGGUGGCGAAGGCGGCUACCUGGACCGAUAUUGACGCUGAGACGCGAAAGCUAGGGGAGC